AGGUGACCCCUGUGAAAGGGUUGUGACCCACAGGUAGAGAACCACUGUUCCAGGCUCAGCCAGGCGAUAACAAAUGAAAACUGGAUGCCAGUUCCUUCAGAGUAUGCGUUCUUUCCUAGAGAUGUCACAAGAGACCCCCUCACAGAAGCAGUGUGCGGUUUCAGCUACCUGUCGAAACACAGAGAAUUCCCGCCAAGCAAAAAUCCAAAGUGAGUCUGCUUCUCACCACUGUUGGCAUGUGAGCGCUGAGAUUUGAACGCCCAGCUUCGAGCACGUGGUAUACACAUGAAGGCCAA
rnacentral:lncRNA from 1 species